UGGGGAAUCUUGGACAAUGGGCGCAAGCCUGAUCCAGCCAUGCCGCGUGAGUGACGAAGGCCUUAGGGUUGUAAAGCUCUUUUGGCGGGGACGAUAAUGACGGUACCCGCAGAAUAAGCCCCGGCUAACUUCGUGCCAGCAGCCGCGGUAAUACGAAGGGGGCUAGCGUUGUUCGGAAUCACUGGGCGUAAAGCGCGCGUAGGCGGCUUAACAAGUCAGAGGUGAAAGCCUGGAGCUCAACUCCAGAACUGCCUUUGAAACUGUUAAGCUUGAGUGUCGGAGGGGAUAGCGGAAUUUCUAAUGUAGAGGUGAAAUUCGUAGAUAUUAGAAGGAACACCGGUGGCGAAGGCGGCUAUCUGGACGACAACUGACGCUGAGGCGCGAAAGCGUGGGGAUCAAACAGGAUUAGAUACCCUCGUAGUCCCUGAGCGGGCUGGCAAGGCGCAU
rnacentral:rRNA from 1 species